UACGUAGGCAGCAAGCGUUGUUCGGAAUUACUGGGCGUAAAGAGUGUGUAGGCGGUGCUCUAAGUUCGGUGUGAAAUCUCCCGGCUCAACUGGGAGGGUGCGCCGGAAACUGGGGGUGCUGGAGCGCGGGGAGAGGAAAGCGGAAUUCCUGGUGUAGCGGUGAAAUGCGCAGAUAUCAGGAGGAACACCGGUGGCGAAGGCGGGUCUCUGGGGCCGAUACUGACGUGAGGAGCGAAAGCGUGGGGAGCAAACAGG
rnacentral:rRNA from 1 species